AGAGUUUGAUCCUGGCUCAGAACGAACGUUGGCGGCGUGGAUUAGGCAUGCAAGUCGAACGCGAAAGGUCACCUUCGGGUGAACGAGUAGAGUGGCGAACUGGUGAGUAACAGGUGGGUAAUGUGCCUCUUAGUGUGGGAUAACCUCUGGAAACAGUGGCUAAUACCUCAUGUGGCACGGAUAACGUUGGUUAACCGUGCUAAAGACUUCGGUCGCUAAGAGAGCAGCCCGCCCCCGAUUAGCUUGUUGGUAGGGUAACGGCCUACCAAGGCUCCGAUCGGUAGGUGGCCUGAGAGGGUGGUCACUCACACUGGGACUGAGAUACGGCCCAGACUCCUACGGGGGGCAGCAGUCUAGAAGCUUCCACGAUGGACGAAAGUCUGAUGGAGCGACGCCGCGUGUGGGAUGACAGCCGUGAGGUUGUAAACCACUGUCAGCAGGGAAGAAUGCCUUGAUGGUGAAUCAGGGAGAGACGGUACCUGCAGAGGAAGCCCCGGCUAACUCCGUGCCAGCAGCCGCGGUAAUACGGAGGGGGCAAACGUUGUUCGGAUUUACUGGGCGUAAAGGGUGUCUAGGCGGUUCGAUUAGUCUGGUGUGAAAUAUCCUCGCUCAACGAGGAAGACGCAUUGGAAAC
rnacentral:rRNA from 1 species